CCUGAUUCCCAUUUGCUCUCCUCUUCUCGUUCCUCCUCUUCCUCGUCCUCGCCGAACGCGGGAUCCGUCGCCAUCGGCUCUCACGCCUCGUCGUUCCUUUUUCGGUCUCGUCACGCGUCCCGUGUGCGGUUUCGUCCUCCUUGUAUUUGGCGGGCCGUCGUCACGGUGGUUUCCGAGAUAAUUCUCGAUACACGCGGCACGCACACAGAUCUCUGGGCGCGUAAUUCCCGGCGCGUUUCAUUCGCCGCCUCACGUUUCGCGCCCCGUCCCGCUUCCAUCAACCCGCGCGGGGGUUUCCUCUUCGGCUCGCGGCAUUGCAUUUUGUUUGUUUAAGGAUGCGCAGUAGGCUGCCGAGUGUGCGGUCGAGGUGACGAGCGCUCUCGUCCAAAGGUGGAGAGUUAAUUCCGAGUCCGACUCGAGGGGGGGAAAAUCGACUCGGGAGCGGACGAUACACGAUUAGAGGUGCUUCGCGUGCUACGGAUGGGCGUUAUACUAUGAAUAGUGCGUACAUGACAUAGCACGUGUCUAUGCCCCGCGUGCGCGCGCUAUAGCUGCAAUUUAUGGCUUCGGUAUCUACACGCGGCGGCGAUCGCGAGCAGUGUAAUUUAAAGAGGACUCGGACACUAUAUAUGCAUUGCAGAAAGCCGCACGCGUUCAAUUAACUGCGAGAUAUCGUGCGUCGCUUCUACGAUGCGUAUCGUAUCGCGUCAGAUUAGAUUUUGAUUUGGCGAGCUCGAAAAUUCGUCGGACUUUGAACAAUUUUCGAAUCCUCAUUAUAAAUUGAUAUUAAAAUUGAUCAUAUUUAUUGCUUACGUAUUAUCUUAUGUAUUAUAGGGGAAGUGUCGUGCUAACUUCAUGAAGUUAGCGCAUUUUUUUUUGUUAGAUUUUUUAGUACAAGAAAUGCAGAAUUGCUUUUUAUUUUUACAAGGAAGCUAUGAAAAGUGCUACUAAAACUCUAAUUAUUUUUUUAUAUUAAUAUAAGAUAGGAGGGAGAAGUGGGGGGGGGGGGAGGGGAAAUAAUCUCGCGGACAAACGCGUAAUAAAGGAUGCGCGCAACGUGUGUUCCUCGCGACAAAUCUGGUUUCAUGCUCGUCACAGCCGGUCGCGCAGUGUAAGGAUUAAUUUAUUCUAUUCGUGCGCGUCUCUCUUCAUUUACCACGGGGGACACUCCACGGUGGCUCGCGCUUUGACAACAACAGUCGCCGUUAUUAAUUAUAGCCAGGAUCGGCUUGGAAAACCGGCACCUGUUUGCGGAUAACAUCAGAAAUCGUCAUCAUCAGAACUUGCCUCUUUUUCCAUGGAAAUUAUUUAAAGACAGCUCCGAUCCUGAGUUGGGCGACCACCAGCUUUCGUACCGGUGGACUUAUACACGCGGACCUACAAGCAUCGCCGGACAUCACCGGGAAACGUUGUUUAACGGCCGUAACUACUCUUAAUCGCGCGUGGCUUAUCCGCGUGAAACCGAGGAAGCCAUCCCCGGUGGGGCGUCACGGUUAAACCCACCGAGAAACCACACGUGGACAUGGACGAGUGUUAAUGAGUUAUAGCUGGACGGUCCGGAGCUUUUUGCGUCGGAAUAUGACAAUAUAAUUAGUGGAGCCGGCGAUUUCUUGCUGGACAUUAAAAAGUACACGUCUCUCUUUCGAAUAUCGAAUUCGAAAUGUGUGUGAGUCUUUCAUUUUGAUGACAAGUUUUUUUUUCAUUAAAUUUGUGUAGUAAAUGAAAAAUCGAAAUUUUAAUAAAAAAUAGUCUUCCCAAGAAAGUUCCUAAUUAUAAAAGAAAAUUAUAGAAGAAAGUUACUUUUUGACAGUUCUAGUUUAUUAAUUCAGUUUUCGCGUGACUUUUCGCACGAAAUUAGAUCCAGGGCGCACAUAGAUUUCUGAGAUGAAAUAACAUUUUUGAAAAAAGAUGGAGGGGGAGGGGAAGAUUACGGAAAAAGGGUAUAAUUUAUGGCUGUUACUCGCGCGAUCCAUUCGAGAAAGAAAAUGCCGUCCGUAACGGCAUCUUUGACAAUAACGGUCGCCGGAUAUCAGUUAUGCGACUAUCAGCUGCUUUUGCAUCGCGCACGCGGCCUAUCCGUAAUCUGCGAGAAUCGUUUGAGCCGUUGCCCUAAUCGCCCCUCGAACCAUCCUUAAUUGCCGUAUCCUUUUAGAUACGGAAAGCGUGACAGCUCGACUUAUUUAAAUAAUUAUUGGUAAGUAACGGAACGUCCGCGCUUUUCGCAGCGUCAUGAACAGCCGCACACGAUCUCUCCGAUGAUAAUUCGAUAUGGUGCUUCUGAAUAGUCUCUUAAGUUACCUUCGUCAUCGAUAUUCUCUCUGUCAGUCGCAUCAAGACAUUUAUUUCACAAAUCCCUAUCUUCAUAAUUCACUUCUUCGACAUUUCCCCGUCAUUUUUUUUUUAAUUCCCAAUAUAUUUAUUGUACCCCUUGCGCUUAUCUGCCGCCCCGGAAACGGACAAAUCGUUCGAGGGAUGCGUUUCUUCGUUCGCGGAGACGCAAAGUGGAGCGCGGCGCUUACAUGCAGGAAUGCGCCAUUAACAAAUGCGAGGGGCUUUACGAGGGUCAUUAAUGCUGCCGAUAUUUCACUGCGGUUCAGCGUAAGCCGUAAGAGCGUGUAUUAUUGCGGGACGUUUCGCGGGAUGUAUAGCCGCCUUCCAUAAGUCAUCGGAACAAUGCCUUCGCAGCCAUGCACGUAGGUAUUACUUUGCCCCACGUUCCACCCCGCGCGGUCGAAGCGUGAUCUAUGCGCACAAAUCUCAUACACACACUCACACACAUACACACACACACACACAUACCCACACGUCAAACUGCAUCAGUUUUAUUUUCCCGUCGGGAAGAUGUAAAGUUUUCGCGCUUCUACGAUUUCCACAGAGAUUAGCGAUAAGAAUUCAAUUCGAUAAAAAAAAAAAAAUGAUAGAAUAAAUGACUCAAUAAUUAACAAUGUCCAAAAUACUGGUAAUUUGAUCUUGUAUGUUUUUUUGAAUAUAUAAAUUACACAGAAAUGUUCCUAAUUUUAUUAAUUUUGAAUUCUUAGGGAGCUACUUAUUGUUAUAACAUUUCAUUAAAAAUAAAACUUUAAUUGUUUAAUCAUAAAAGAAUAUUUAAACUGUAAAAUUUUCGCUUUUUGUCCCAUAUGAAAAUUCGAGAAAAUUAACAAAAAUAUGUCACUGAAAUUAUUUUACUCAAUAAUAAAAAUAAGUAAAAAAAAAAAACGCAAAAUAUUGAAAAAAUUAUGUGUAGGUGUAAUUGUUUUGUACGUUGAUUAUUUGAGAAACAGAAUCUACAUAUAGACUUAUAAUUCUUCGCUUUACAACGACAACGGACUUUUUCAAAUUAGUUUAAAUUGUAAAACUUUAUUUCACGAAGCGACGUUUUACCGCAUAAAAAAAUCGCGCCUCGCUUUUUCUUCCCAAAAACCAAGCACCGCGAACACAAAACGUGUCGAGUAACGCAGAAAGUAAACGAAGAGUGAGAGAGAGAGAGAGAAAGAGAAAUGAGGAGAAUAUAUCUUGUUUUGGACAAGACGCAGCGCGCGCACCUGCGUCGAAAUAAAUUAUGGAGUUAUCGCAAUAGUUAAUCCGUCAGUUAAGCGCGCCGACCUUACACUGUCUUUCCGUCGCAAAUCACCGAGCGCGGGACAUAUCCUUAAUCGAUUUUACAUACAGGGGGAAAAUUAACAAAUGGAAUGUCGCUGCGUGCGAAAGGGAGCCGCGACGGCGGGAUGAGAGCGUGUGGUCCCUCCUGUCCGUACAUCGGCGCGUCUUGUACUUAUUUUCGAAUAAUAGUUGCACGUUGCGAUAACGCCGGCCGCGUUAGGUGGGUAAUUACGAGGGUGAUCAGCGAAAAGUCACUAGGACAACAACAACCUUCAAAUCUCUAACGAGAGUUCCAUUGCCUACCGUACAUCCUCUCCUCCGGUAGAAAUACAUACAUUGGAAACGUCUUAAAUAAAGCCUACUGAAUAUCGCUUCUUGUCCGAGGUACGUAUCGAAGGGAACCGUCGUUAGCGCUAACGAGAAUUGUAGAGCUAUCUCGCGUUUUUUUUUUUUUAAGCAACAUUCUCGCACACGUGGCUCGAUUCAGCAUCCACGGAGGAACGGAGAAAAUAAAUCGGUAAGAAUUAUUUGGUUAAACCAAAAUUUCGACUUCGGUGCGCUUUUUCAGGCGAGUCCUUUGUUUCCCUUUCGGUCGUCGUCGUAAAUUUAUCGAACGCGCGCCCCGUGGCCUUUUUUUUCCGCGAUGAUCCCUUAAUGACCGCCGUUAAUAAUUACAUCGUCGGGCGCUUCUUUCCUUUCCUCGUCAUCCUCUCUGCGACUACGUAUAACUCAUCCAGUGGCGUAGCAGGGCGGAGAUGCAAUGCUAGAAACAUGAAUCAUUGUCUGGACGUAGGUACUGUUAUCACUUUAUUUCUACCGUGCGUUAAUUAAUGCCCGGCAAUCUUGUGAAAUCAUUGCCGGGGCAACGGCCUUGCAGCCCGAGCUCGCUUCAUCACUGUUUCGUCGGUUUCUUGAGGCCGUCGCCGGACCCCGAUUUGCUUUCGUAUUAAUAAAACAAAGGGAAGGCAGCGACGACGUCUUAAUUCGCGAACCAUUUUUACUAAUUUACCUUCGAAAAGUUAUAUAUCCCCGAGGCAGAAGUCGUUUGUAACAUCGAUUAAGAUAAAUUGACGAGACGUGAUCAGCGUGAUGAAGAUUUAAUUAUUCGCAUAAAUUUAGUCUGCGCCACGGCUUAAUUCGGUACCGAGUGACUAUUUAAAUGCUUAUAGCCUUCCUCGUUAAUAAAUCACGCGUACCAUGUAAAAAUAACGCGUAGUGAAAUAUUAUUCGCGCCACGUGAUAAAUUGUGAAUAACGCGUAUAUUCAGAAACGAUACGUGUGCGCGCCGAGCGCUAUGCUGAAUAUUAAGUUAAAUGUUAUAUCAAGCGUUAAACUUUUCUUCCACCUCCCCUCGCCCCGUCCUGUCCCCUCCCCCUCCGUCCUCUCCGUCUCUAUUCUUUUAAGGAUUUUCGCGAUGUUUUCGCGAGGAAAGUUACUCUUUACCGGUGAAAAUAUUCGCGCGGUAAACCGAAGGGGUUACAGUACAUCAGACUGUUGACGCUCGUAAUACUCACAGAAGAUACGUCCGGGUUCGCCGAGUCAUAUAUCACGCGUGGCGAGCUCUCGUAAGCAGGUAGAGAGGAAGCACGAUGAAGGUGGGUAAACGUGGCCUUUUACAACGUUACGUAUAUUUUCUUUGCCUCCCGAGGAACCGUCGUAGUUCACCGUCGCGAUUUUUUAUCGUGCGACUCAAAGUUUUUACUGUACACACGUACGGCUAACUCAGACCGCUCUUGCCAUUCGUUGAAGUGUUUGCAUACGCUCACAAAGAAUGGAAAGCGCAAAACGAGAUAACAGUUAAAGCAGCGAAAGUAAUAGUUACCAUUAUUCAUCGUUUCUGUUAUCUGCCGGUGUUAUUGCUAUCGGGAUUAUCACGAGUAUCGUUCAAUUGUUAUCGUCUCUGUUUUUUUUUUCCUUUAUAGUUCCGCCUCUAACUCCGGGAUACUCUGCACUUUUGCCGCACGGUGUAGAAUUGAGCGUUUCCGCGAGAUGCUCUCGAAAUUCGGGCCCGACGUGCACAUGUGCGGGCAAUGAUCAUUACCGUGUAACGACGGGACCGAUAAUCGAUCGGGGGAGAGGGGGAUGCGGCGAUCGAUCGGCAAACAACACCGUGUGUGCGCACUCGCACCUCCGCGGUGCGCCGGGCACCCCACCCCCGGUCGUUAGGCUAAAUUAAGUGGUUACACUUUGUUUGAUCGGGGCCCUACGGAGGCCCGAAUUAAGUUGUUAUCGCGAAUUAGCUGAUUAUACCGGGCGGAGGUGUCGGUUUGAUUUGUUGUUUCGCAAAACACCGCGCCGCGCCGCGCGGUUUGUUUAUGCCGCCACGCCCCGCCCCGCACCCCCGCUCCCCCCUUCCGCGCGAGAGGGAGCUUCCAGGUCGCUUAUGGCUUGACCCCGAAAAUAAGCCGUGCCCGAUCGGCUGAAUCGUUCUGACCUGGUCAGCGCACCGCACUGUGACCCUUCCUCGCCCACGGAGCGCCCCUUUUUGCCGUGCCUCUCUCGCACGGAGCCCUUAAUUGGGACGGAUUUUAAUAGCGAGCGAUCAUAACGAAUUAUCCUCCACCGUGCGGACGUGCGAAAUUGACGCUGCAAGCCCGAUGUUUUGGCGCGGAUAAAUCAGAAUUUUUCUUUCGUCCAGAGUCGCGCGCAGGAGGCGCCGAGAGGAAGAGUUUAAAAAAAAAAAAA
rnacentral:lncRNA from 1 species